rnacentral:rRNA from 1 species
UACGUAGGUGGCAAGCGUUGUCCGGAUUUAUUGGGUUUAAAGGGUGCGUAGGCGGCCUUAUAAGUCAGUGCUGAAAUAUCCCGGCUUAACCGGGAGGGUGGCAUUGAUACUGUAGGGCUUGAGUGUAGUCGAGGUAGGCGGAAUUGACGGUGUAGCGGUGAAAUGCUCAGAUAUCGUCAAGAACACCGAUAGUGUAGACAGCUUACUAGGCUACAACUGACGCUGAGGCACGAAAGUGUGGGGAUCAAACAGG